rnacentral:lncRNA from 1 species
AACUGUAGUAUAUCAGAAAAAUUUUCUUUUGUAGAAAAAUUGCUGAGGUAGAACGCAUCGCCCGUGAGAAAAAGGAGUUAGAAUACCUUAAAUUGCUUGAAGCACAGCGCAUUGCUGAGUUACAACAAGCUAAAUUGACAAGCUCAGCAGUUAAAAAGAUUGCACUAGCUGAUAACAAGGAAACUGGACUAAAUCAUACAUUCACUUUAAGUGAUAACAAGGAAAAUGGUCUUAAUACCACAUUUUCCAAAACUACUGGACCGUCUCAGUCAAGUUCUACUGGGAAAAACAAAGAUAGUUAUGACAUUACACCAAACUCCAAGAAAUAUAAGAAAAAUAUUAAUAAUUAUGAUAUAAAUGAUAUUGAGAGUGAUGACUCAACUGAUGAGGACAGUGCUCCUAAGAGGAAAAUUCCUCCCUGGGCUAUGAGAUCUCAGCUCACAGCUGCUAUGAUCAACCAAGUAUACUCCGGACCUGUGGUUGAGGAGAUCUUCCCUCCGACUAUUCUUCUCACCACACCUGAUCUCACCCAAAUCUUUCCUAAGCGGAAAAAAUUUAACAAACGCACCUCUAGUGCGAUAUGGACUACACCACUUUCUAAAUAUUUUGAAUAAUGUUAGCUAUAUACAGUACUGUGUAUAUAUUUUAUCAUGCUUCAUGGUAUAAACUAAUGAUUUUCAGUUAAGUGUUAUUAAUGCAUUGGAAUUGUUUUCCAAAUUUUUAGAGUACAUAACUUAGCAUUUCUUAAUAUAUAGGUAUUUUCCAAUUUACGAUGGGGGUUGUGUUCCUGAAAACCGUAACAUAAACUAUGAGCCCUUUAA